AAUAUUGCACAAUGGGCGCAAGCCUGAUGCAGCCAUGCCGCGUGUAUGAAGAAGGCCUUCGGGUUGUAAAGUACUUUCAGCAGUGAGGAAGGUGGGUAUGUUAAUAGCAUAUUCAUUUGACGUUAGCUGCAGAAGAAGCACCGGCUAACUCCGUGCCAGCAGCCGCGGUAAUACGGAGGGUGCGAGCGUUAAUCGGAAUUACUGGGCGUAAAGCGCAUGCAGGUGGUUUGUUAAGUCAGAUGUGAAAGCCCGGGGCUCAACCUCGGAAUUUGCAUUUGAAACUGGCAAACUAGAGUACUGGUAGAGGGGGUAGAAUUUCAGGUGUAGCGGUGAAAUGCGUAGAGAUCUGAAGGAAUACCGGUGGCGAAGGCGGCCCCCUGGACAGAUACUGACACUCAGAUGCGAAAGCGUGGGGAGCAAACAGGAUUAGAUACCCUGGUAG
rnacentral:rRNA from 1 species